rnacentral:rRNA from 1 species
AACAGGGAUUGCCCUAGUAACGGCGAGUGAAGCGGCAACAGCUCAAAUUUGAAAUCUGGCUUCGGCCCGAGUUGUAAUUUGCAGAGGAUGUUUCUGGCGCGGUGCCUUCCGAGUUCCCUGGAACGGGACGCCACAGAGGGUGAGAGCCCCGUAUGGUUGGACACCAAGCCUGUGUGAAACUCCUUCGACGAGUCGAGUAGUUUGGGAAUGCUGCUCAAAAUGGGAGGUAAAUCUCUUCUAAAGCUAAAUACCGGCCAGAGACCGAUAGCGCACAAGUAGAGUGAUCGAAAGAUGAAAAGCACCUUGAAAAGGGGGUUAAACAGUACGUGAAAUUGUUGAAAGGGAAGCGCUUGUGACCAGACUUGCGCCGGGCGGCUCAUCCGGGGUUCUCCCCGGUGCACUCCGCCCGGCUCAGGCCAGCAUCGGUUCUUGUUGGGGGAUAAGAACGGCAGGAAUGUGGCCCUCCCUCGGGAGGGUGUUAUAGCCUGCCGUACGAUACCCUGACGGGGACCGAGGUUCGCGCUCCGCAAGGAUGCUGGCGUAAUGGUCAUCAGCGACCCGUCUUGAAACACGGACCAAGGAGUCGUCCAUUAGAGCGAGCGUUUGGGUGUCAAACCCGCACGCGUAAUGAAAGU